AGCUCCAAUAGCGUAUACUAAAGUUGUUGCAGUUAAAAAGCUCGUAGUUGAAUUUCUGGUCUCGGACAUCGGUCUGCCUCGAACGAGGUACGUACCAGUUGUCUGAAUCCAUCCUCGGGGAAAACAUGUCUGGCAUUCAGUUGUUGGGCAUGGGAUCCUCGUCAUUUACUGUGAGCAAAAUAGAGUGUUCAAAGCAGGCUUAUGCCGUUGAAUACAUUAGCAUGGAAUAAUAAGAUAGGACCUUGGUCUAUUUUGUUGGUUUGUACUCCAAGGUAAUGAUUAAUAGGGAUAGUUGGGGGUAUUCGUAUUCAAUUGUCAGAGGUGAAAUUCUUGGAUUUAUGGAAGACGAACUACUGCGAAAGCAUUUACCAAGGAUGUUUUCA
rnacentral:rRNA from 1 species